GUCGAACGGUAACAUUUCUAGCUUGCUAGAAGAUGACGAGUGGCGGACGGGUGAGUAAUGCUUGGGAACUUGCCUUUGCGAGGGGGAUAACAGUUGGAAACGACUGCUAAUACCGCAUAAUGUCUUCGGACCAAACGGGGCUUCGGCUCCGGCGCAAAGAGAGGCCCAAGUGAGAUUAGCUAGUUGGUAAGGUAACGGCUUACCAAGGCGACGAUCUCUAGCUGUUCUGAGAGGAAGAUCAGCCACACUGGGACUGAGACACGGCCCAGACUCCUACGGGAGGCAGCAGUGGGGAAUAUUGGACAAUGGGCGCAAGCCUGAUCCAGCAAUGCCGCGUGUGUGAAGAAGGCCUUCGGGUUGUAAAGCACUUUCAAUAGGGAGGAAAGGUUAUGCGUUAAUACCGUAUAGCUGUGACGUUACCUAUAGAAGAAGCACCGGCUAACUCCGUGCCAGCAGCCGCGGUAAUACGGAGGGUGCGAGCGUUAAUCGGAAUUACUGGGCGUAAAGCGCACGCAGGCGGUUUGUUAAGCUAGAUGUGAAAGCCCCGGGCUCAACCUGGGAUGGUCAUUUAGAACUGGCAGACUAGAGUCUUGGAGAGGGGAGUGGAAUUCCAGGUGUAGCGGUGAAAUGCGUAGAUAUCUGGAGGAACAUCAGUGGCGAAGGCGACUCCCUGGCCAAAGACUGACGCUCAUGUGCGAAAGUGUGGGUAGCGAACAGGAUUA
rnacentral:rRNA from 1 species